rnacentral:rRNA from 1 species
CGGAGGAUGCAAGCGUUAUCCGGAUUUACUGGGUUUAAAGGGUGCGUAGGUUGUGUGGUAAGUCUAUGAUUAAAGCCCACGGCUUAACCAUGGAAAUGUCAUAGAUACUGUCACACUAGAGGUCAGCUGGGGAAAGUGGAAUUCCAGGUGUAGGGGUAAAAAUCCGUUGAUAUCUGGAGGAACACCAGUGGCGAAAGCGACUUUCUAGACUGAUCCUGACACUGAGGCACGAAAGCCAGGGGAGCGAAGCGGUUUAGAUACCCGCGUAGUCCUGGCCCUAAACGAUGGAUGCUAGACGUUAGAGGUAUCGACCCCUUUAGUGUCGCAGCGAAAAGCGUUAAGCAUCCCACCUAGGGGAGUACGGUCGCAAGGUUA